UCAAGGAAGAAGAUCUGACGGUACUUGAUGAAUAAGCCACGGCUAAUUCCGUGCCAGCAGCCGCGGUAAUACGGGAGUGGCAAGCGUUAUCCGGAAUUAUUGGGCGUAAAGCGUCCGCAGGCGGUCUUACAAGUCUGUCGUUAAAGCGUGGAGCUUAACUCCAUUUCGGCGAUGGAAACUGUAAGACUAGAGUGUGGUAGGGGCAGAGGGAAUUCCCGGUGUAGCGGUGAAAUGCGUAGAUAUCGG
rnacentral:rRNA from 1 species